rnacentral:tRNA from 1 species
GGGGUUGUGGCUCAGAGGUAGAGCGCUUGCCUAGCAUGCAGGAGACACUGGACUGGAUCCUCAGCACCA